rnacentral:rRNA from 1 species
AGUGAACGCUGGCGGUAGGCCUAAUACAUGCAAGUCGAACGGCCGCACAGUAAGCGUUCGCCCCUACGGGUGGCGAGUGGCGGAUGGGUGAGGCAUACAUAGGCAUCUACUUUUUCGUGGGGGACAACGUAGGGACACUUACGCUAAUACCGCAUACGAUCUACCGGUGGAAGCAGUGGUUCUUCGGACCUUUCGCGAUUGAAUGAGCCGGUGCCGUAUCAGCUAGUUGGCGAGGUAAAGGCCCACCAAGGCGACGAUCCGUAGCUGGUCUGAGAGGAUGAUCAGCCACACUGGAACUGAGACACGGUCCAGACUCCUACGGGAGGCAGCAGUGGGGAAUAUUCGGCAAUGGGCGCAAGCCUGACCCAGCCAUGCCGCGUGAGUGAUGAAGGCCUUCGGGUUGUAAAGCCCUGUUGUUAGGAAAGAAAAGCAGCAUGAGAAAACCCCGCUGUUCUGACGGUACCCAAAGAAAAAGCACCGGCUAACUUCGUG